CCCUUAGACGUUCUGGGCCGCACGUGCGCUACACUGACACAGGCAACGAGCUUUCCUUUACCGAAAGGUAUGGGUAAUCUUUUGAAACUGUGUCGUGCUGGGGAUAGAUCCUUGCAAUUUUUGAUCUUAAACGAGGAAUUCCUAGUAAGCGCGAGUCAUCAACUCGCGUUGAUUACGUCCCUGCCCUUUGUACACACCGCCCGUCGCUACUACCGAUUGAAUGGCUUAGUGAGGCCUCAGGAUCCGCGCUUAAUGUGUGGAGAAUUUGGACAAACUACGUCAUUUAGAGGAAGUAAAAGUCGUAACA
rnacentral:rRNA from 1 species